rnacentral:rRNA from 1 species
CCUACGGGUGGCAGCAGUGAGGAAUAUUGGUCAAUGGGCGCGAGCCUGAACCAGCCAAGUAGCGUGAAGGAUGACUGCCCUACGGGUUGUAAACUUCUUUUAUAAAGGAAUAUAGUGAUGCACGUGUGCCUUUUGGUAUUUACUUUAUGAAUAAGGAUCGGUUAACUCCGGCCCAGCAGCCGCGGUAAUACGGAGGAUCCGAUCGUUUUCCGGAUUUAUGGGGUUUAAAGGGAGCGUAGAUGGGUUGUUAAGUCAGUUGUGAAAGUUUGCGGCUCAACCGGAAAAUUGCAAUUGAUACUGGCAGUCUUGAGUACAGAUGAGGUAGGCGGAAUUCGUGGUGUAGCGGUGAAAUGCUUAGAUAUCACGAAGAACUCCGAUUGCGAAGGCAGCUUACGAAACUGCCACUGACAUUGAUGCUCGAAAGUGUGGGUAUCAAACAGGAUUAGAUACCCGGGUAGUC